rnacentral:rRNA from 1 species
UCAGUGAAUCAUCGAAUCUUUGAACGCACCUUGCACUCCUUGGUAUUCCGAGGAGUAUGCCUGUUUGAGUCUCAUGGUAUUCUCAACCCCUAAAUUUUUGUAAUGAAGGUUUAGCGGGCUUGGACUUGGAGGUUGUGUCGGCCCUUGUCGGUCGACUCCUCUGAAAUGCAU